UGCUCUGUCUUUAGUUUAUUUUUUUUCUAUAUUGUGGUUUUAGACUGUUAUUGGGUAUUUGGCCUUUUUGUUGUUUUUUUUUUUUUUUUUUUUUUUUUUUUUUUUUGCCAAGGCGUUGUCGGUUUUUUUCGACUUGUAUACUUCGUAAAACACCAUGUACAAAGGGAAUAUUGAGCCGCCAUAAAAAAUGUUAUGAAAAGAUAUAAAAUCAACACCGUAGAGAGAUCUUUGAAUAUUGUGUUAUCUCCUGUUUCUAAUAAAUUAAUUUAUGCGUAAAUAAAUUAUUGCUUUACAAAAAUGAAAACGUAUCAUGGUCGUGCAUUUAGUCGAUAAAAUGUUCUUAUAUUAUGGCAUUGCGCAAUGUCAUGCUUUACCUCUCACUGUUUUGAUGUCUU
rnacentral:lncRNA from 1 species